AUGACGGCCAAUAGCUUGGUUUCUCGGUGAAUUAACGUGGGGUACCCGUAUAGAGGUCCGCGCGUGCGCGCAUAAUUAAAGGUGAACCGUGCAUGAAUGCGCAUGAAUGGAUUAACGAGAUUCCUGAUGUCCCUAUCUACUAUCUAGCGAAACCACAGGCAAGGAUAGGACUUGGCAGAAUUAGAUUGAUUUUGAUCUUCAGUAUGAAUACAGACCGCGAAAGCGUGGAAAGUAUGAAUACAGACCGCGAAAGCGUGGCCUAUCGAUCCUUUUUUGAACUCGCGAGUUUCAAGGAAGUGGUGCCAGAAAAUUUACCACAGUGAUAACUGGCUUGUGGCAGCAAAGCGUUCAUAGCGACGUUGCCUUUUGAUCCUUGGACGGAGUAGGAUAGGAUAGGAUAUGCAUGUUUAUCCCCGUGAAUGGGAAAACCCCAGGGGUUAUCACACGGGCAAUCGUCAGAUCACCUCGCGCCCAUCGUCGGGUUACCGGACCUAUUGCAGUGUGUUGUAUGUGAUAGACACGUUCCUUCAAUUUGGUAGAACCCAUUAAUCCGCUGGGUUCAGGCAAUGUCCGUAAAGUGCCUUGCCCAAGGACACAACCGACUAGCUAGCGACCAGUUUCGCAACUGCAACCUUUCGAUUGAAAGGCGACGCACUUAACCGCUAGACCAUCGGGCCGGACACAAACGAUUCAGACAUUUGGUUAAUGUGAUGGGCUGUUAAGCCAAUGGUGCGAAGCUACGUACUAUCCGAUGAUUUUGACUGAACGCCUCUAAGUCAGAAUUCCACCUGGAAAGCGACGAUGCAUUCCUGCCUCGGCCUCGAGAGGCGUAGAUAUACGGCCACGUGGCCGUGGAAGGAGCCCGAUUCCGACCCGAUAGGCCGUGGCAAGAUGCGGCCGGGAAAAAGGUCAACCUCUGCUUGAAAGGCGAGGUGCUAUAAAUCAUGGAAGAGACUCAAGAUAUGUCGGUUUGU
rnacentral:ncRNA from 1 species